UACAGGGGGUGCAAACGUUGCUCGGAAUUAUUGGGCGUAAAGCGCGCGUAGGCGGCUACUUAAGUCGGAUGUGAAAGCCCUUGGCUCAACUGAGGAAGUGCACCCGAAACUGAGUGGCUUGAGUACUAAAGAGGGUCGCGGAAUCCCCGGUGUAGAGGUGAAAUUCGUAGAUAUUCGCAAGAACACCAGUGGCGAAGGCGGCUCACUGGCCCGAUACUGACGCUGAGGCACGAAAGCGUGGGGAGCAAACAGG
rnacentral:rRNA from 1 species